CCCUUAGAUGUUCUGGGCUGCACGCGCGCUACACUGAUGCACUCAACGAGUUUACGACCUUGCCCGAUAGGGUUGGGUAAUCUUUUUAAAAUGCAUCGUGAUGGGGAUAGAUUAUUGCAAUUAUUAAUCUUCAACGAGGAAUGCCUAGUAGGCGCAAGUCAUCAGCUUGCGUCGAUUACGUCCCUGCCCUUUGUACACACCGCCCGUCGCUCCUACCGAUUGGGUGUGCUGGUGAAAUGUUCGGAUCGGCCGUUUGUCGCGGUUUCCGCGUCAUGUGGCUGAGAAGUUCAUUAAACCCUCCCACCUAGAGGAAGGAGAAGUCGUAACA
rnacentral:rRNA from 1 species